AGUGAGAGGAUGGCCACUGGGGCUUAGCAGCAGGUUCAUUCACCCUCGUCCUCUGUCCUGUCAGCUGGGCUUGCCCACCGGUCCUCUCCUCUUGGGCUACCUUCACGGUGCUCCCCCGGCUCCCCUUGCUUCUCUCCAGUCCACCUGCCACCACACCGUUCCCUUCCACGGUCCCCUGCCUCCCAUGGCUCCCUCACCUCUCCUCCUCCGCCUCGCCAGCCCCUCUGUCCUCCGUGUCCGCUUUCCCUGGCAUCCGCCACACCUCCAUCUCCUCUUCCCCAGCCCCUUUGUUUCCCCUAAAUAAACCACCUUUCUACUGAG